rnacentral:rRNA from 1 species
UUAUACGGCGAAACUGCGAAUGGCUCAUUAAAUCAGUUAUCGUUUAUUUGAUAGUACCUUACUACUUGGAUAACCGUGGUAAUUCUAGAGCUAAUACAUGCUAAAAAACCCGACUCACGGAGGGUUGUAUUUAUUAAAUUAAAAACCAAUGCCCUUCGGGGCUUACUGGUGAUUCAUAAUAACUUCUCGAAUCGCAUGGCCUUGCGCCGGCGAUGGUUCAUUCAAAUUUCUGCCCUAUCAACUUUCGAUGGCAGGGUCUUGGCCUGCCAUGGUUACAACGGGUAACGGAGGGUUAGGGCUCGACCCCGGAGAAGGAGCCUGAAAAACGGCUACUACAUCCAAGGAAGGCAGCAGGCGCGCAAAUUACCCAAUCCCGAUUCGGGGAGGUAGUGACAAUAAAUACUGAUACAGGGCUCUUUUGGGUCUUGUAAUUGGAAUGAGUACAAUUUAAAUCCCUUAACGAGGAACAAUUGGAGGGCAAGUCUGGUACAGUAUCUGCUGGUGCCAGCUAGAGCAGAAGCCCUUAAUUCUGCUAGUCGAGCGUCUUAGACGCCGGCGAGACGACCUGGAUCGGGGAAGGCUGUAGUGCUAUUAUAGCACUAUGCUGAUCCCGAGCGGAACUCAUAUGAUGUCCGUUUAGAGCCCGGAAAGGCGUCGGUUGCAGCACUACGCUGCAGCUUUAGGGACGUGCCAAUCCCUCUUGAAAAAGAGGCCGGUGCAUAAAAGCGCUGUAAGCGUCGAUAUGCCCGGGAAUUUAGCUUCUAAAUUCCGUCAAAUUAGUGGCCAGCAGCCGCGGUAAUUCCAGCUCCAAUAGCGUAUAUUAAAGUUGUUGCAGUUAAAAGCUCGUAGUUGAACCUUGGGCCUGGCUGGCCGGUCCGCCUCACCGCGUGCACUGGUUCGGCCGGGCCUUUCCCUCUGGGGAACCCUAUGCCCU